rnacentral:rRNA from 1 species
GACGAACGCUGGCGGCGUGCCUAAUACAUGCAAGUCGAGCGAACAGACGAGGAGCUUGCUCCUCUGACGUUAGCGGCGGACGGGUGAGUAACACGUGGAUAACCUACCUAUAAGACUGGGAUAACUUCGGGAAACCGGAGCUAAUACCGGAUAAUAUAUUGAACCGCAUGGUUCAAUAGUGAAAGACGGUUUUGCUGUCACUUAUAGAUGGAUCCGCGCCGCAUUAGCUAGUUGGUAAGGUAACGGCUUACCAAGGCAACGAUGCGUAGCCGACCUGAGAGGGGGAUCGGCCCCCCUGAACCUGAGACCCGGUCCAGCCUCCUACGGGAGGCAGCAGUAGGAAAUCUUCCGAAAUGGGCGAAAGCUUAACGGAGCAACGCGGCUGGAGUGAUGAGGUUCUUCGGAUCGUAAAACCCUUUUAUUGGGGAAGACCAAAUGUGUAGUUACCGAUGCACGUUUGACGGGAACCUAAUAAGAAGCCACGGCUAACUACGUG